GUUCAUAUUUAACCCCAGAAAAUCACACCUUGUGGAUAUUUAUAAAUUCUCUACGCUAAGGAGGUUCUGAUGAGGAUGCCAGCAUCCUGUGAGAGACGGAGGUUGUGUGUGUGUGUGUGUGUGUGUGUGCGUGAGAGUGAAAUGCACUUACGUAAGUGUGUGCUUAAAUGUACAUGCGCUGUUGUAAAAGUAAGUCAAGUUUACCUCCUGGGAAAAAAGCAAGAGUGCAUUACUGUGUGGGUUCGUUAUUAAGAUCACGUGUGCCCACGGGCCGUGUCCCUGCUCUCUGCCCGAGAGGUGUGUGCCCACGAGCCAUGUCCCUGCCCUCUGCCCGAGAGGUGUGUGCCCACGGGCCGUGUCCCUGCCCUCUGCCCGAGAGGUGUGUGCCCACGGGCCGUGUCCCUGCCCUCUGCCCGAGAGGUGUGUGCCCACGGGCCAUGUCCCUGCCCUCUGCCCGAGAGGUGUGUGCCCACGGGCCAUGUCCCUGCCCUCUGCCCGAGAGGUGUGUGCCCACGGGCCAUGUCCCUGCCCUCUGCCCGAGAGGUGUGUGCCCACGGGCCAUGUCCCUGCCCUCUGCCCGAGAGGCCUGGAGGGUGAGGCGGGCUCGCAACAUUUCUAACUUCCUGAUAGUCCUCCGGGCAAGCAUUCUUCAGAUUUUGGUUGCCCAAAGGAAAAAAAAUACCUUUUUUUAAAAUGCAGAAAGGUAAAUGUGCAAAGAAGGCAAAAAAGGAAAAAAGAA